CGCACGGCGCGGGUAGGAAACUCGAUACUUCCGUCGCACGCCGCGACAGCGCUACUAGUCGCUUUGUUUACAACCACCUCCCUUAUUUGAAAUUGAAAGUUGCGUCAUGGACCAAAAGAAUAAAUAAGGACCCCCAACUCCAGUUAGCGCUGACAUCAGCGCUGCCUGGCAGAGGGUGUAGGCAGAGGGGUUUCAAUAGGGAGUUGGGAGUCCUUAUUUAUUCUCUUGGUCCAUGGUUGCGUUGCGGCAAGUUCAAGUGAAGAAAGAAAGUGUGCGAUUCACAUGCUCGAUUUUUUCAACCUAAGUAUUUAUAAUAUUUGUAGAAAUUGUGGAGUUAUUUCGUAUGUUUUACUGCAUCAUGUGCACUGGUGUCGACUGGAGUUUACUCAUCGCUGAGAAUGACUAAGGUCCAUUGAUCUGGUUAGCUGGUGGUUUCAUCAAGAAUUGCCUCCGUCACCAUAAUGAAGGGCCAAAUUAUUGAGUGUGUUGAAAAAAGCUGCACCAAUUCAAGUCAGAAAUCAACUUUAAAAUUCUAUCAUUUCCCUCGUGUUGGAAAAACUAACCUAAACAGGUGUCGCCUUUGGGCAGAAUUUGCAUUUCCUGGUCAAGACUGGUCUAGUGCGGAAGCUCUUCAAAAAUUAUUCACUACACACAAGCAUCUGUGUGCUCUCCACUUUAAAGAUGAUUGUUUCCUUGAACAGAAUCCUGGCGCCUUGACGAGGUACUGCAUCCCAACCAUCAGAUCAAGCAGUGGAGUAUCGGAAAGGAACCUACAUUCCACAAUCAACAGUGUAGAUCAGCUAUCUCCAGCUUCCUCUAGUGAAGCCGAUGUUGAUAUCACAGAGCCGGUUCUCAAAGCAGCAAGAAGUGAGGCUACAGGUAUCACUAGUCGUGCAUCAAGGAAAACAACAGAAGUUAGUGCUGUAGCUAAUGCUGCUGCAUCUGUCAUGGAAGUAGAUGCCCCUGGUUGCGAGGAGAUAGAUGCGAAUGAAGUUCCUGAGACAAGUGGUACUCCAAAUGCUCAGACCCUGAGACGCGAAAGGAAUGCAACCUCCUGUUAUGAAACAGAUUUAAGGUCUGUGCCUCUUAAAUGUUCCUGUCUACUUGGACUUUAACUCAUACUGUGCUCCUCUUCAUAUGCCUAAUGUAAACCUGGUCAAACCUUUUCACACUUUGACAUAGUUCAGCUCCUGCUGCAUCCCUUAACAACCUUUUGCUACGUUUUCUGCAUGGGAAAAAUUUUCAGCAGAUUUUUCCUGUCCUGCGGGCUGAUUGUUGAAGUUAAUAGACAAAAAAGACCUAGGGAGUAUGGAGUGUUUAUAUCGGUCAAAAUAGGUGGUUUCUAUAGACUGUGGGAGAAAAAGAUGGACUAACUAUAGGGUCUCUCAAGAGUUGCCGUUAGUAAGUCUAUUAUCUACCUUCUUUGUCCAUUGCAACCACCUGCUCCUUCCAAUAGGAUCCCUCCAUAUCCCUUUUGUCUUCUUUGUCUAUAGCUUUGUCUAUCAAUUUCAACAGUAAGCCUGUAGUGCUGGCAGAGAGACUAGUUGUCAAAGGAUGCAGCAGGAGACCGGGCAAUGAUACAAUGAAAAUAAAGUCUGAAACAUCCAGUUCCGGAAAAUUGAGUUCAUUUUUGUUUCAGACUUGGUGAUUCAUGGUUUCAUUGAUUGAGCACCGGGGAGAGCUCGGGUAGUGGAGCUCGCAGUCACGACCCAAUCAUGCUGAUGAUUGGAACAACCGUCCAAACCGAAACAUCAGCUCAAACAUUGAAAAAGUUAUGAAGUAUCAAGCUCUUCCUUUGCCCAUCUCGGCAUAUUAUAUGAAACAAUCAAUUUUGAUUUCAGUGUAAGUAUUCGUUUAGCAGCCACUUCUUGGAUCAGUUGAGCUAAAAACGCUCGAAGCCCUCAAUCCGCACCUCUUCACGGCGGACUAGGUACUAUCGUUUUCAAAUCGCCCGGGCACCCAGCCAGUCGAAGAAGAUGGCGGUCUACCAUGGUAAUGUUUACAUUGCGUGAUUCCACCUGUGGGCCCCUAUUUCUGUGAAAAAUCAACGAAUUUCAAUUUGUUGAAAUUUAUUUGGGCUUAAGAAAUUUCACUUUCUAUCUCUGCAACCAAGUCAACAAAAACCAACAAAAACACCAGCAUUUCGCGCACGAGUUCCGAUGACGUCUCAUGAUUCCACCUGCGAGCUCCACCACCUGAGCUCUCCCCGGUGCUCAAUCGAUGGUUUCACCUGUAAUUGCAUUUUUAUUUAUAUUUCUAACAAAAAUUAAAAUGGAAACAAAUUCUGUAACAUUCUCAAGAUAUUAGUUCAUUAAUGAGUUCCUUUUAUUGACUGUCUAGGCUUGGAGAAGACGCAAGAAAAAAGAAACAAGAAGCAGAAGAAGAAAGAAUCCAGCAAGAAAAGGAUCAAGAGACCUAUCAUCAACCUAAAACACCUGUACCUUCAUUUCCAAUAGAUGUGCACUCUUCUCCUACAAAAAAAGAGGACGUUCAAAUUGGUACUUCUAACUUCUCUGAGUUAGUAACAAGUCAUAGUUUUGUUGACAAAACUCUACUUAUACAAGAUUUUGUAAAGUCAGGUAACAAAGCAACACUAAUUACAUGUCCCAGAAAAUUUGGUAAAUCUACUAAUAUGGACAUGAUAAAAACCUUCUUAGAAAUUGAAGUUAAGGAUAAUGGAGAACUAAUACCUAAACAAGAUAGAAAAAAUGAUAAGUUAUUUGCAAACCACACAUUAUUAAUAUCUAAGUGCAAAGAAUUUAUUCAAAAACAUCUAGGACAAUAUCCUGUUAUCUCUGUUAGUUUAAAAAUGUUAAAGGAAGUAAUUAUCGAGACCUGUUCAAGAAAGUACAAGUUGCAAUUAGUAGUA
rnacentral:lncRNA from 1 species